CAGAGAACAUCGCCCUCACGGGUGACUCUCCAACCCUAUGUUAUUAUACCUUUGUUGCUUUGGCGAGCCGCUUCGGCCACCGACUCCGGUUGGUGCGUGCUCGCCAGAGGACCACAAACUCUUGUUUAUUAGUGUCGUCUGAGUACUAUAUAAUAGUUA
rnacentral:misc_RNA from 1 species